UGAGGUAGUAGGUUGUAUGGCU
rnacentral:ncRNA from 2 species